CGUCAAGUCAGCAUGGCCUUUAUAUCCUGGGCUACACACACGCUACAAUGGCCGGUACAGUAGGUAGCGAAGCCGCGAGGUGGAGCCAAUCCACAAAGCCGGUCUCAGUUCAGAUUGCAGGCUGCAACCCGCCUGCAUGAAGAUGGAGUUGCUAGUAACCGCAGGUCAGCUAUACUGCGGUGAAUACGUUCCCGGGGCUU
rnacentral:rRNA from 1 species